GGAGUUAGCCGGUGCUUCUUCUGUGAGUGAUGUCCUUCCUGCCGGUUAUUGACCCGCAGGCCUUCUUCCUCACUGAAAGUGCUUUACAACCCGAAGGCCUUCUUCACACACGCGGCAUGGCUGGAUCAGGGUUGCCCCCAUUGUCCAAUAUUCCCCACUGCUGCCUCCCGUAGGAGUCUGGGCCGUGUCUCAGUCCCAGUGUGGCUGAUCAUCCUCUCAGACCAGCUACGGAUCGUCGCCUUGGUGAGCCGUUACCUCACCAACCAGCUAAUCCGACAUAGGCUCAUCCGAUAGCGCGAGGCCCGAAGGUCCCCCGCUUUCCCCCGUAGGGCGUAUGCGGUAUUAGCCUGGGUUUCCCCAGGUUAUCCCCCACUACCGGGCAGAUUCCUAUGCAUUACUCACCCGUCCGCCGCUCGCCACCAGGGAGCAAGCUCCCCGUGCUGCCGCUCGACUUGCAUGUGUAGCGUCGCCGCCACGCGUCAUCUGAGCACUAACUACAACUACUGA
rnacentral:rRNA from 1 species